UACGUAGGGGGCAAGCGUUGUCCGGAUUUAUUGGGCGUAAAGAGCUCGUAGGCGGUUCCGUAAGUCGGGUGUGAAAAAUCUGGGCUCAACCCAGUGGAGCACCCGAUACUGCGGUGACUCGAGUCCGGUAGGGGAGUGUGGAAUUCCUGGUGUAGCGGUGAAAUGCGCAGAUAUCAGGAGGAACACCGGUGGCGAAGGCGGGUCUCUGGGCCGUAACUGACGCUGAGGAGCGAAAGCGUGGGGAGCGAACAGG
rnacentral:rRNA from 1 species